AUAUCAGUGGACGAAAAAUCUCGCGUACGGUGCAUGCAUCACACAGGAUUAUUUUCAACCAAACCGCGUUACUGUUCAUCCGGGUCAAACCGUGUUACUGUUCAUCCGGGUCAAACCGUGUUACUGUUCAUCCGCGUGGUCAAACCGUGGACUGUUGACUGAUGACGUGGCGCAAUCCUGAGCGUCCAAACUGUUUUUAAUCCGAUGGCCAUGAUUUAC
rnacentral:lncRNA from 1 species